GAGGGAGCGAAGGGGAGGGGACAGCUCAGCUGCAGGCAUGCAGGCGCGCCGCCUGGCCAAGCGCUCCAGCCUGGGCGGCCGCCGUGGGGGUUCCGCGCUGCAACCCCUGGGCUCGGCGCCCGAGAUCGGGAGGCCGCCACUGCCCCCGCCGCCGCCACGGAGUGCGGGGACCGGUCUCCCUCGGGCCUCCGGGGCCAUCGCGUCGUCGGUGCUGCUGCUGCUGGGCGAGGAGGACGAAGAGGAGGAGGGCGCGAGCCGUAGGCGGCGGGGUCUCGGGCGGGUGCCGGAGAAGCCCCGGGAGGGCGCGGAGGAGGACGAUGACGACUACGAGGAGGACGACGAGGAGGGGGUCAUCGAGGUGGUGGAUGGCGACGAGGAGGACGAGGACGGCGAGGAGCGCUUCCUGCCCCUCGGCCCUGGCCGCGCGGUCCCCAGGGGCCCGGCCCGGGGAGCGGUGAAGGUAGGGAGCAUUAAGCGGGACAUGUCCUUCACGUUUCAACCAGAGGACCUAAAACGAGACUCAAGUAAAAAAAUGUCUUAUCAGCCCUUGUUCCCCUUGGCCAUGGAGGAAGAUGUGAAAACAGCAGACACCAAAACUGCAAACCGAGCCCUUGACCAUGACAAAGAAAAUACCCGCUCCAUCUGUCUCCUUGAGCAAAAGCGAAAAGUUGUUUCUUCCAACAUUGAUGUUCCUCCAGCAAGGAAAUCCUCAGAGGAACUGGACAUGGACAAAGUGACAGCAGCAAUGGUACUAACCAGCCUGUCCACCAGCCCUUUGGUUCGAAGUCCUCCUGUGCGGCCAAAUGAGGGCCUCAGCGGAUCCUGGAAGGAGGGUGGCGCCCCGUCCAGCAGCUGCGGCAGCGGCUACUGGAGCUGGAGUGCCCCCAGCGACCAGUCCAACCCGUCCACCCCGUCACCACCGCUGUCCGCCGACAGCGCCAAGCCCUUCCGUAGCCCCGCGCCCGACGAUGGCAUCGACGAGGCUGAGGCCGGCAACCUGCUCUUCGACGAGCCCAUCCCAAGGAAAAGAAAGAACUCCAUGAAGGUGAUGUUCAAAUGCCUCUGGAAAAACUGUGGGAAGGUGCUGAGUACUGCAGUAGGGAUCCAGAAACACAUCCGGACCAUUCACCUUGGGCGUGUUGGGGACUCCGAUUAUAGUGAUGGCGAAGAGGACUUCUACUACACAGAGAUCAAGCUCAACACAGACUCAGUGGCAGAUGGACUGGGUAGCCUGGCCCCAGCUUCGCCAUCCCAGUCCCUGGCUUCACCACCCACCUUCCCCAUCUCGGAUUCAAGCCGAACAGAAACCCCUUGUGCCAAAACUGAAACUAAACUGAUGACGCCCUUGAGCCGCUCAGCCCCCACCACCCUCUACCUCGUGCACACUGACCAUGCUUACCAGGCCACACCCCCUGUGACCAUUCCAGGAUCCACCAAGUUUGCCCCCAAUGGCAGCAGCUUCAGCAUCUCUUGGCAGUCUCCUCCAGUUACUUUCACAGGCAUUCCAGUGUCACCAACACAUCACCAUCCUAUGGGCACAGGAGAGCAGAGACAGCACAGUCACACAGUCUUGUCCUCCCCGCCCAGGGGGAUGGUCAGCCUAAGGAAGCCUCGUGGAGAAGGCAAGAAAUGCCGGAAGGUAUAUGGCAUGGAGAACCGAGACCUGUGGUGCACGGCCUGCCGCUGGAAGAAGGCCUGCCAGCGCUUCCUGGACUGAGGAACCUAAGGGACAGCAGUAAUCUAGUCACAGCCACCAGGUCACAGCCACCGAGCAGGUCACCCCACCUUCACCUCCCACUGCAGCUUUUGGGAAAGCACUCUUCCUUCUGAACAAAACACAUCUGGAGCCCAGGAAAACACUUCCAGGAACCUUGGUGGAAUUACAGCAAAAAAUAAGUCACACAGGCACUGAUCUGUUCGGAACCCACCUAGAGCAGCUAUUACUAAUUUGUGUGUGUGAAAAGGAAAGUCAAUUUGCUUUACUAUGUGUCUAGGUUUGAAAACUAUGGACUUCCAUCGCAAUGGAAUCAACAAUGCCCAUUUUACCUAGAAAGGAGGCAUAUUUUGACAAGCUUUCUGAAAAAUACCAUUUCAGUUGAGGGUGAGGGGCAGUGGCAGGUAUUGACACACACAAAAAAGCUACAUGUGAUUCUGUAGCUUUUGUACAAAGAACAAUACACACUUUCGUGUGAAUAGUCUUUUCCCAGUUUCCAUUUGACUUCUUGGGGCAGCACUCUGGGUAUCUUUUCCAUGUCUUUCUCUUUGUUUUGUUUUGUUUUGAAGAAUGGCCCUGAAAUGGUAGAGCUGUGGGCUUGCAGGGCCCCUGAUGGUGGAAACUCAAAAAUAGGUUGACUGAACUCAUCAGCAGACUUCAGCUCCAAGCUGAGCUCAGGACACCCAGCUGUCACUGAUGGGAAACACCUAGAAGUCUUCCCAAGAUCUGUAAGAAGCCCUUCCCCAAGCAGCUCCUCUUCUGCCUGCUCAACUCAAUCCAGACCUGGCACAUGGAGCCCUCUGGUGUGGCCCAGAGACACCAAAAGGUUGGACACCCCUGCCUUGUCCUUCCCAGGGAACAUGCACCCAAGUUGUAGGAUGACAGCGUGACAACAUGGAAAAAGUAACAAGAGUGUUGGAGAACCAAGAAGAAACACAAGAGGCCCAUGGGCACCUGGCUCCCACCCCUUAGUGCUGAUGAGCCACUGGUGGCUGUCCUUGAGCCCCGCUGGGGAGCGGCCAUCUGCAUGGGCAGAAAUCAGGUGUCCACACCUAUGGGAACAGCCCACUGCCUUUUUCAGCAGACUUCAUUGGAAACGAAAGCAUAGCUUUCACUUGAGAAUGUUUAGAGAAAAGUGGAAAGACUUGUACAUUUAGAACAGAAUGCCUUGAGAAAAGUAGCAAAAUACUAUAAAUAAUAUUCAUUUCCUCAGGGAAAAUUAAAGAGUAUGUGAAAAAUAGAGCUGGAGGAGCUUAAUAUUAGAAAGAUAUUAUCUCCAGAGUCAUCUAGUCAGAAAAAAAAUUUUUUUUCAUGAACAUGAUGUUAUUUCAAGACAAAGUUACAUGAACUGGACGAGACCAACUUUUCUGGGGCUAGGGGAUGCUUUAUGAGAAGAGCUGUUUCUCUGUGGCUGAGCUGUGGUCAAAGGCUGGUGUGUGGACCAUAAGCACCAUCCCAGGUAGGUGUCCAGAGACUCAUGGAAGGCUUUCUUGGAAUGUAGUUGUGAAUAUGUAGCCUUGGCAUUCCUUCCUCUCAUCACCAGUAGGUUCUUAGUUCACCAGAGUUCUUAGCUAUGAGCAAAAGCUCCCAGGGGAAAAACAUUAAAUCUGUGAUAGCAGGUUAAGGAGCAAACUUCCAUGGACUUUCCUGGACAAGGUGCUGCUUUUUCUCAUGACCCUAUAGAAUUUCUCUUGACUACUUCAACUGUAGCAGUGACCUGGUGAGCACCAGGAAGAAUCUGUGCACACAAGUGAGUGGAAACACGGCAGGAUUCGCAGGUAUUGGGGUGUGGAUCAUUUUGAAGAAUGUGCUGGGCAUGAGGAGCAACUGCAAAUUUCAUUUCUUCUAAGAAAAUAACCCUCCUGACCAUGAACACACACACUCUUCCUGCUCCUUAUACCUGUGGGGAUCCUCUCUGAGGAUUCCUCCCUAUGGAAACUGUUUUCUUUUGUCUUUUUCUAUUGUAACUAGAUGAACCACAAGUCAGAACAUAAAAUGAAAUCAGCACUUUGGAGUACCAAUUGUAUCACCAAUCCAGCAAGAAAGUAUAAAAUAUAUGUCAUUGCGACUGACUUUGAGCCCAUAUCCAAUGGUCUAGAUUAUGGGUCCCCAACCCUGGUCUGUGGACUGGUACCCAUCUGUGGCCUAUUAGAAACAGGGCUAUGAGCUAAGCUCGCCUGAGCUUCCCCUCCUGUCUCCCACUCUCCCUCCUCUUCACCCUCCCCCACAGCCCUAUCUAUGGAAAACCCAGUCCCUGGUGCCAAGAAGUUUGGGGACUGCUGGUCUAGAUCAGUGAUUUUCAACCUUUUAAUCUCAUGGAAAAUGUAAACUAAUUACUAAAAUUCUCCGGCAUACCAAAAAUAUGUUCUAUGUUUUGCCAAUCUGAAAAAAAAGUAUAAUUUUGAUUCAUCCACACCAGACACCUGUCAUGUUGGCUGUUGUCAGUUUUUUGUUUAUUUGACAAUCUAUGGGGAAGAGGUGAGUGCCCCUAACUAAAUAGUGGUAUUGCAUGUUUUAAAAAUUCUUGUGACACACUCUUUGAAAAUCACUGGUCCAGAUGCUUUAAAAAGUGUAUCUAUCAUAGGACCAGCAAUCAAAGUGGGACUUUUACUUGUGGUCUUGAUUUGUAAAUAGAUCCUUUUUUAUGACAAUCUCAUAUUUUAUAACUUCUCCUGAGGGUCUGAGAAUCACAAUGGUAAUGUGUUAUAUUGGAAUGUAAUCUGAAAUACAAUAACAAUUAUAACUUAAUUUUCCAAAUAAGACAAGAAAUACACUGCUUAAGCUUCUAUAAUUCUGAGAGACAUACCACUUUUAUAAUAAGCAUUAGUACUUAACUUCUCAAGUUAACAGAACUAGAGAUAUUUUACAGGAUGCAGUGUUUUGUAAUCACAAAAAACAUGAACAUUUUCAGAGAAAUGACCUUGGUUUUAUACAUUGUAGCUUAUUUUUUAAAAGACAGUCUUACUGGACAGGAAGCAUUAAUAUUAUAAGCAAUUCUUACUCUCCAAACAAAGGGCUAUGCCUCUUUUAAGCAAGUGUUUUGGUGCAUAUCUUUUCAGUUAACCCUCUGCAGUGAGGGGUCAAAAUAUAGACCAGAUGGAAAGAUUAAUACAAGAAAAUCAAGAUGGCAACAGCUACACCUUUUAUCAUUAACAGUGUGUUUUAAUGUAUUGUGAGGGGAAAGACACUUUAAGAAUCAUCCUAUGUAUCUUAAAUCUAGAAGAAGUCAAUAGACAUGCUUAUAAGUAAUGAGAGAAAUAUUGUUAUACAUUUUUUAGUGUAAAAUGAUAGAUUUGCCACACACACAAGCUACCAACUGACCUACCAGAACCACAAACCUGUGUUAAACUAGCAAGUAUCAUUUGGCAGAAAUUUCUAAAAUCAUGGAAUGUAAGCCCAAAGGUAGAAUUCUUAGAUGGUUAGUGGUAUUUAAAAUAAUUUUCUCUUCAGCUAAACUUGCAUUUCCUUAUCAGAACAAGUGAUUGAUUUUUUUUUAACCAGAAAAACUCACAGACAUGCCAGGUUGGCAUCAGAAAGUCACAGUAUUCUCAAGAGCUGGGAAAUGAGGAAGGCACCCAUGGAGACUUUAUUAACUCUAUAAGUAAUUCUGAGCUUUGCCAGACCAUUCACAGUGCUAUAGUUCUUUUUUUUUUUUUAUCCCACUCACUGUUAAAGCAAGAAAGUAUCUUGUCUUUCUAAGAUUUUACUCAUUCAAAAGCUGGACCCAUUAGCCAAGUAUGCAGAUAACAUCAAAAGAAAAGCUAGGAUACAAUGGUCAUAUACCCAUUGGGCAACUCCUAUGAGGUCAUCAGAAGGUCACUCAGACCUUGCUUUCAAAAGGGCUUUUGAAUCUGUACACAUGAGAACUAGAAAUGCAUGGAGUUAAGGAAUGACUAUAUGGUCUCAGCUCCUGGUCCUUGAGAUGAGGAAGUCUGAAAAUCUCUAUGUCCUUUCCCCUGGAAUGUCUCUGUUGUUAGCAUUAAAGUUCCCAGGAAGUAUUCACUGCUGAAUGGUUUUGAACCAAGUGAGUCUUGCUUCUUUUUUU